rnacentral:lncRNA from 1 species
GGGGGCUGGAGGAGGGAAGUGAGAAGAGUGUGCCCGGGGCCUGAGGGCUGGUCUGGAGGCGUGUUGGGGCGAGGUGGUGCUGGCCGUGCUCCUGUCUGAGAUGGGCAGAGGGAAGGCGCCCAGGACUGCGCUCGAGUCCCCAGGCCGGGGUGCGGCUCAUCCAUCCCGUGGUUUCAGAUUCGCCUGGCGUGUUGUUGCAAGACUGCCUGGCACUCAGCUUGCCCGGUGCUGCCUGGCCCGGCAGCCUUUUCCCAGAUCUCACAAGGGAAGCACAGAUGGGAAAACUCCAUCAGCAGGGCGUCGCCCCCAAGGGCUGCCUCCGCUCCAUGCCACGCUGGGUCCCUUGGCGGUUACGUGGGUCCUGGGAGGGAGCCUAUGACUCUUCCUGGGUUUGCAGCGAUGGGGAUGGGGUGUGGCGCCAGCCUGGCCUCAUGGGUUUGCAGUGCUGUGGAUCCCUCUGGCUUCCUGACCUCGAUUCCUUUUGACAUACAAGCCUGCAUGGCAUGAAUUCCCGGGAUGACUGGCCGGGCGGGCUCUCUGCGCCCCUGGCAGCGCUGCCCAUGACCGCUCUGUGAAGCCACUCUCCUUCCUUCCUGGCGCUCCUCCCUCCCUCCUUUCUUCUCUCUUUUCCUACCUAAAUGUUUAUCCAGUCCCUCCUGCAUUAAAUAUCCGUGCUGGGCAACAGAUCACCAUGAACUUGGUGACUGCGCCACCACUGCCUGUCCGCGCCCAGCUGUAGACGAGGGUCUGGGAGGCACCAAAAGCUCCCAGGCUGAAGCGGGUGCUGGGCUGCAGGCACUGGAGGUGGGGCCUCUCCCACACUCCCUGGCCAUCAGCUGGUGAGUUCUUUUUUCUUCUGCGUCUUCUUGAGGAUGAAGUCUUGGCAGUAGGCCUCCCGUUUCUCUCACGGGCUAUUCCUGGGGUUCCCUCAGCUCCUGGAGGUUCCCACAGUCCCCUUCCCCAAGGCCCCCUAUCCCCACCCUGUGCUUCUUCAGUGCCAGCAGGAGAAAUUCUCCCUCAUCAGCUUCUUCGGAGAAGGACUCACCUGGUCAGGUCAGGCCCACACGGGGCCUCCGAUACGCAGCGACCUUUCUCCAGUUAAAUUCUGAGCUAUUCUUUUACCCCUAGAAGGGCGUCUUCUAUAGAAUAGAGUAAAACUGUUAUGAGAUUGUUAGAACAAGCUCUUGCAGGCACCUGCACUUGGCAGAAGAGUCGAUCGAAUUCCAUCUAGAUGGGACUUCACUGAAGG